GGUGCCCCUAAGCAUUCCAUACCUGUCAAGUUCAAAAGAAGUGGACAAAUGAGAUCACUUUAACCUGAUUCAUUAAAAAAAACAAAUAUAAACCAUUUAUUUGCACGUAUAGUUCAGUGGAUCUGAUACAAAAACCUACACAGAUUACCAAGAAGAAACUGAUAACAUUUGCGGAUGAAAGCUAGAAGGCCAUAUAAGGGAGGACCCAUGGCAGUCAGUCACUCACUAUAGUUAAAAAGCUCUCCACUCAGAAAAAAUAUUCAUAGGACAGAGAAAUCCAGAAGUUACCAUUGAAUGAACAACAAACAGAUCAACACCUUCUGUGUUUAAUUUAUUGUAGAGUUAUAUGGACAACUGGUGAACUAAAUUGAGUUUUCAGUACCACGCAUAGUCCCCCCUUCUAUAUUUGUCAAUCCAAAACACAGAUAGCCAUGAUGAUAUGGUUAAUUCUCCAGAUGCAACCCCAGUUAAAUUCAGUUUUCACCAGUAUAUUUUGCUUGUGUAAAUUGACAAAGAGAGUUGUUCAUAUCCAUCAAGACGGUACUACAAUUCUUGAUACCUUGCUUCCAUGCUGGAGUC
rnacentral:misc_RNA from 1 species